AACGAACGCUGGCGGCGUGCCUAACACAUGCCAGUCGAACGAGAAAGGGGCUUCGGCUCCGAGUAAAGUGGCGCACGGGUGAGUAACACGUGGGUAACCUGCCUCUAAGAUUGGGAUAACUCGUCGAAAGAUGAGCUAAUACCGAAUAAGACCACAGUUCCCGCGGGAACAGGGGUCAAAGGUAGCCUCUGCUUGCAAGCUAUCACUUAGAGAUGGGCCUGCGCACCAUUAGCUAGUUGGUAGGGUAACGGCCUACCAAGGCAAAGAUGGUUAGCUGGUCUGAGAGGAUGAUCAGCCACACUGGAACUGAGACACGGUCCAGACUCCUACGGGAGGCAGCAGUGGGGAAUAUUGCGCAAUGGGCGAAAGCUUGACGCAGCAACGCCGCGGGAGUGAUGAAGGCCUUCGGGUCGUAAAGCUCUGUCGGGAGGAACGAAUGCUCCUGAGGUUAACAGCCUCGGGAGGUGACGGUACCUUCAAAGGAAGCACCGGCUAACUCUGUG
rnacentral:rRNA from 1 species